AGAGGAAUAUCUGUAGUUGCGAUAGUUCACCACCAGAGGGCAGUGAGCGCUCAUAAUCCUCCAUCAAACGCCUUGUUAAACUGCAGUUUGUUCUGCUGGUUUUCUGCUGAAUCCAUGAAAAAAAGCUGCUCAGCUUCAGAUCUGCUUCACUAACAGCAAAACAGAAAUACUGAAGCUUUUCCAUCUUCACUCUAGUUUUUUCACUCUGUUAAAUCUAACUGAACUAUUAAUGUUUAUUCAGAUGAAUCCAAACUUUGGCUCUAGAGGAAAAACACAAGUUACGUAACUUCCUGUGAAAAUAGAAACUCAAACCAACUUUGGUCUCCUUCAGAUCAGCCUCCAUUUUGAAGCUGCAGGAUGGAAAUAACUUGCUGACUUGUUACUAGAGGACAGUUACUGGAACCAGAUCACUGGACUGACUGGUUCUGGUUUCUCUCUCCAAAAGGCCAGAAGAUGAAAGAUGGGUAUCAGUCCAUCUAUGAGGAGUGACCGGUCCAAACAUGAUCCUCCAUACUUCAGUAAUGAACCUGGACCAUCAGACAGAAAGAGCUGUGAGUGUGAAGAAAGACCCAGAACAGGAGCUGAACGGCCGACAG